UACAGAGGGUGCGAGCGUUAAUCGGAAUUACUGGGCGUAAAGCGUGCGUAGACGGUUUCGUAAGUCGGAUGUGAAAGCCCCGGGCUCAACCUGGGAAUUGCAUUCGAGACUGAAUAGCUAGGGUACGGUAGAGGGAAGUGGAAUUUCCGGUGUAGCGGUGAAAUGCGUAGAUAUCGGAAGGAACAUCAGUGGCGAAAGCGACUUCCUGGACCAGUACCGACGUUCAGGCACGAAAGCGUGGGGAGCAAACAGG
rnacentral:rRNA from 1 species